rnacentral:rRNA from 1 species
GACGAACGCUGGCGGCGUGCCUAAUACAUGCAAGUCGAACGCAGUGGGGACGGGUGAGUAACACGUGGGUAACCUCGCAUCAGAGGGGAUCACACUUGGAAACAGGUGCUAAACCGCUACUGAUGGCUGGAGCGGCGGUGAAUGAGCUAGUUGGGGAGGUAACGGCGCACCAAUGCCACGAGGCAUAGACGACCGGAGAGUGGGAUCGGCCACACUGGGACUGAGACACGGCCCAGACUCCUACGGGAGGCAGCAGUAGGGAAUCUUCGGCAAUGGACGCAAGUCUUACCGAGCAACGCCGCGUGAGUGAAGAAGGUUUUCGGAUCGUAAAACUCUGUUGUUAGAGAAGCGGUAUCUAACCAGAAAGCCACGGCUAACUACGUGCCAGCAGCCGCGGUAAUUC